UCCCUCUUUCAUUUUCAGUUCUCAGCGCCACUCGCACUACUUCUUUUCGACCUCAAAAACUCAAAUGCUUUGCCGAAUCAGCAGACCGUGGAGUACCCGAGCUUCAAGCUCGUAAUCGUUGGUGAUGGUGGAACAGCAUAAAUAGAAAGGUGUUUGUUUGGGAACUUUGGGUUGUCUUCAUGAUCUGUGAAGAAAGGGGCAGGCCGGUCGGAUUUGUAGUUCUCUGUAUUUGCCGUUGUUGCUGGUUUGAUUUGUGGUUUUGUGUUUAUAAAGGCUUAGCUACUGCAGUGAAAGAGAGAAGAGGGCAAAUCAGUUUGUAUUUCCUUUGUAAAG